rnacentral:lncRNA from 10 species
CUUCUACCCAUCAGCAGCCUUCUUCCUUUGGAUCUCACAAGCUUCCAACAACACCAUCUGUGGUUUGGCUCAAACCCUUCUGCCUGUGCUGCCAUCCUGUUCCUACAACACUGCCUUCAGCUAAGAAAAUUGACAAAGAAAUUGCACGGCGGUUGAAUCAAGAAGAAAAGGCCUGAGAUGUAAAACGGAUUCCUCGGCAUGAAGCAAACUCCGUGGGGCAAGUGGGGAGCAGUUUCCCGCCCCACUUCAGUCUCUAGGGGGGACUUAGCUACUGCUGCUGCCCCUCCCACUCCCUGCCUGGAAUAUACUCUCUCCAUCUCCCAGGCCUGUCUGAAUUAGGCUCAUAUUUCAAGAUCUCCCAUGCAUCCGUUUCCCUAGGAAAGCCUCACCUGCACUGACUUCUCCUCCAAGUCCCAUUUCAGAGGUUACACACGCACGAUUUGGCCCUGUGUUGCUCUCCUUGAUUUCACUUCUGUGGCUUCUGUCUCCCUAACUAGACCACAUACUCUUCAGGGAAAGAACCCCACACCUGUUCUUUUGGUGUCCUCUAAAGCAUCAGUAGUACAAAGUGGUACAAACUGGAGACAUCGGAUAAAAACCACGUCAAUGACUUCAGUUCUGUGGAUUCCUCAAAGCUGCUCACUGUUCUAGAUCUUUCCUAAGAAUUCUAACCCGGCUCUUAAUUAGAAUAGACGGUUUCCAUCUGGGAAGAGUCACCCUGCGGACACUCAAGGUGUGUGUGUCUGUUGGUGUUUUGUCACCUCUGUGAAUCAAAUCUGGGGUCUGAACUAGUGCUGCUGACAGCUGCCUGUGGAGUCACCCAGAGCAGCACUUCCCAACCUUUGCUGUGGCCAGGAAUCACCCAGGGAUCUUGUUACAGUGCAGGCUCAGUAGGAUCUGGGCUGAAGCCUGGGAUUCUGCCUUCCUAACAACCCUCAGAGGAUGCUGAUUCUACUAGUCUGUGACCUCACACUUUGAGUAGAAAGAGACCCAGGAACACGUGCGAUCUUGAGACUGAAGAUGCCAUCUGGCAGGGUUAGUGCUGCCUGCUGCCAUCCUAAUCUGAGGAGGAAAGAAAAAGUGAUCCCAGCUGCCUUGGCCUCCAUCCCCAGCCCAGCCUUGCUCCUCUCCCAGGCGCUGCAGCUGGGGCGGCUUAGAUUUUAUUUCGCUCUCUGCAGCUCCUCUUCCCUUCAGUGAAGAGUUAAAGCAUCGGGAAGGCUCCUUCCCACUUGGAAAUCUCCAUUUCCUCCUGCAGCGUGAACAAGAGAACUCUAUGGACAGAGGCCGAGUGAGCCAACUGCGCAGGGAGUGAACUCACUCUGAAUGGGGCUGUUCUAACACCCGCCAAGUCAAGUCAUUAAGAUGCCAUCCCCGAGGUGCAGCCCCCAGCGUCACCUCUGGAUAUCCAUAUCCUCAAGCCCGCCGGCAGAAAGGAUGAAUGGUGAGCACAGAGCUGGUGAAAGCAAGCUCUUUCAUGAGCAGGGCGUGAGAGGACCUCUCCGGCUCCUCUUAAGGUGGGGGUGGGGCGCUUCGGAGUAGAAGUCGUUCCUCCUCUCUCCCACUGCCUCCUCUACCACACCGAACUAAAAUUAACCCUCAAAUUUACAGGGAGUUACCCAAAAGAUUGCUCCACAAAAGGCAACCAAGAAGGGGGCUGGGUAAUAACAUUAGAAAAAAUAUCUGCAAUGCCAAAAAUAAUCACUGUGUCAUGAGAAAACAGAGCUGGACUGCCUCAGAGGCCAGCACUGGGUAUAUACAGGAAGGAGGGGGCAGAAAUUCCCCUGGCAGUGUCGUCAAACAUUCUGGAUGGAAAAAGGCGGGUGGGGGGCGGGGGUGCACAUAACCGGGACAGACAGUUGUCAGAACUCUUUUCAAGUACAGAAUAUGAUUUUAAGGGUCAGUUCUCUCUUCUUUAUUUCAGACACUUUAAUUUCAAAGAAAACAUUUGUUUAGACUUUUAAUCAGGACUGAUGCUUGAUCACAUGCUAAUAGUGAAAUAUCCUAGGAUCUGCCUUACUAAUCCCAACAUGUUGCCAGAACUUCUGGUUCCUGGAAUUUAAAGUAUUUCAAAACAGCAAGAGAAGGGGGAGAAAGCACGGGAUCCCUCACUCUCCUACCCCCAUCCUCAUAACCCCUUCUCCCCUCCCUAUUAAAAAAAGGAAAGCAAAGAAAGAGGAAAAGUGAAAGAGGAGAGAGCUGGUAGAGAAUCUGUCCUGGGCUUCCUUUAUAAAGAAUCCUGAUCUGAGGCCUGUUCACAUGGUCACAUGUCUAGUAUUGUGGGAUCUGAUUCAUGCCACAGCGCGAACACUUGCUUUCCCCCAAUUCUGCCCUCUCUUGCUCUGAUGAGAAGUGAGAUGUCUGCGCACAUUUCCAUUCCUUUGUAAAGAAGUCAUCAAAAGCCACAGGAAAUGCUAAAAGUCUUUUCCAAAUUUAUUAUCAUGCUCUCAAAUAACAUUGAGCAAUUUGGGAAAUAAAACUGUAUUUUUC